UGGGACGCGCCCACGACCUGUACGGCCUCGCCCCUCUGCAACUCUUCCUCGAUGACGCGAGCUCGCCGGCGCCUCGUUCUGCAUCCCCUGCCUCCCCGAACUGAUGCUGGUGCUCUCCUGCCCGUGGUGUUGCUGCCAGCGAGCACGUCCCCGAGCACCUGCUGCCGACCACCUGCACGACUAGCUGCUGCCUGCCGGUGAUCUUGAAGUCACUUGUCUCCAUCAUACAACAUUGGCUGCUUCUGGCCGGCUUGCACGCUGGAGCAGUAGUGCGUGCUCACUGACCGACUUUCGCCAUGCUGGCUGUCUACAUCUUCAAGGAAGGUGAAUGAAGCAACUUGUGGCAGAUCUCGCUACUACCGUUGUUAUCAUGCUACUAGUAGGACCUCUACUUCGAGAAGGAAGUAGGGCUCGCCUGUUGGUUGGUUCUUGUGUGGCGCCCUCGCUGCCUGUGUUCAGCACCGACGAGUCUGAAACCAGAGAGGAUGCCGCUGUCCUGCUUCUUGGCCGUGGACGACCUCGAGCACGAGGUCUCCAGGAUGGACAUGCUCCCUGGCAUCACCAUCAAGUUCAGGUUCAAGGUAGAGAUCAUGGCCAUGGCCAUGGAUUUGGAUCACAACUGCUCUCUAAAGCCGCCCACCUCAAGGACUUAAUGCUCCGCCAAGAAAAUGCCUCCCUCCUCCAGAUCGAUUUGGAUUGUGUUGAAGAACAUCUGGUUGUUUUGGUUGGUUGUUAUGAGCUAGGCAAGCAGGCCUUUCGAUGUGGUGCUGAAAUUGCAGAGAAUUUGGGUACCUUAGGUGCUGACCUAGUCUUGGUGGUUGCGGGAGGUCUGGUUAUGACGGUAUGAUCGAUUUGGAGAAACUGGCUACAGCAGAAGAUAAUGAUGGUGAUAUGGAGAUUGUUUCUCCUGCUGGGAUCAGUGACUAUACAAACCGUGAUGGUGGUGAUGUUCACAUUUGUUUGCAGUAUGGUUACAUUGAGCCAAAACUGAGACUGGGAAGCGGAGCUGGAGGUGGUCAGAGGAGGUAGCGGUGGUGGCCUUCUUCCUCUACUUCUCGG